UAUCUCUGUAGAGUCUGCAUAUCAAUAAGCGGAGGAAAAGAAACUAACUAGGAUUCCCUUAGUAACGGCGAGUGAAGCGGGAAGAGCUCAAAUUUGAAAUCUUCAAGGUUCUACCUUGACGAAUUGUAGUUUAAAGAAGUGUUUUCUGUUGGAGUUUUGGUAAAAGUUCUUUGGAAUAGGACAUCAUAGAGGGUGAGAAUCCCGUAUUUGACCAUUAUUUCCAGCUUUGUGAUACACUUUCAAAGAGUCGGAUUGUUUGGGAAUGCAGUCCAAAAUGGGUGGUAAAUUUCAUCUAAAGCUAAAUAUUGGCGAGAGACCGAUAGCGAACAAGUACCGUGAGGGAAAGAUGAAAAGAACUUUGAAAAGAGAGUUAAACAGUACGUGAAAUUGUCAAAAGGGAAGCGUUUGACACCAGUGUUGUUUUCUCGAAAAUCAAUUAAAAAUGGCAUUGAUUUUGUGUUGUAUUGACCUUAUAAGCUUUCUGCACUUUUUCAUGUCUUUUUUAAUGCACUUUUCGUUUAACAAGUCAACAUCAAUUUCUUUUGUUGUAAAAAGGGUCAUUGGAAGGUGGCUUUCUUUUCGGAGAAAGUGUUCAUAGCCUUUGGCCUCUGCAAUCGGAGAGAUUGAGGUCAGCAGCGUAGAUCCUUCGGGGUUAGAUACACUUGUGCUAAGUUAUAGCUUUUCAUAGACAACUUGUUGACUAUGAUUUAGUCAUGUCGCUUACUCGCUUAUGCUAUUUUACCUACGCUUAGGAUGUUGAAGAUGUAGCACAUCAU
rnacentral:rRNA from 1 species